UUCAAAUCGCCUUACAUACAGGAGUCGUACACUAUUUAACUCCUGCAUCUGUUACACGCACAUAUAAUGGGCCAUCUUACCCUAUUCUGCAUUCUCUGCUCGAUGGGUACAGAUUUAUGACAACCGUUUUUACAGCAAGAUUAGGCUUUCGUUUUAAAAUUAAAUUUUUGUGAACCUUUCUGGCAUUGGACUGACUUUCAGAUUCCUUUCAGCUUCACACUAAUGCAAAAGAAACAAUUAUCAGUAGUUCAACUUGUUUUGGAAUUCGCCUCUGUUCGAUUGUCAGAUCUCCAGUUUCACUUCGCUCUUCACACAUUUAACUCUUUGGCGAAAGAGGUGCUACAGUUUACUUGCCGUUUUUAAAACAAAUUUCGUCUCGUCGGAAGGCCAUCAAAACUCUAGUUAUACAAAAAUGUAAUAUAACAACCGAAGUGGCAUUACAAUACAUUAAGCGUAAAUCAGAUAGAAACAGAGGGAAAAAAAAUUGGCUUCAUUUCCAUGACUUGGCCCAACGAGGGAAGUUGUUCGACUCUUUUCGGAACAGCCAGGCAAUGGUAAUACUUUUUUUGGUAUGCAAGCCACCGUCUACUGCAUAUUCAAGGCCACACAAAAAUAUCUAACAAUCAAAGUAUGAGGACCGGCUUGGAGAAGCAUUGCACGUACCAUUUACAGUGACUCCUAUACAGUACAGGCGACUUGGAAAAUUUCUGCAUUGUAACUCCUUGCAUAAAAUCCAAUCAACUGCUUAUCUACUGCGACACCUGAGCCCAAUCGUCUUCAGUUGCUUCAUUGAUGACCUUCUCUCCAUCAAAGUUCAGAAAUGGGGAUGCUCACUGAAGACUGCAGAACAUUCAGCACUAUUCAUGAUUCCUCAGAUACAGAAGCAGUCCAUGUCCAAAUGUUGCAAGACCUGGACAGAGUGCAAAACAGCAGGAAUCACGGCCAUCUCCUGAACCAUGAAGACAAUGAAGAGACAGGAAAAACACAAAUCUAAAACCUGAGAUUGAAUUUUAAUAGUCUCAUUUACUUUUAAUCAGCCUUUACCGUUUUCCACCAAACUACAGCUUUUUAUCGGGGAAUUUCAUAGAAAGUUUACAGCACUGUGAUACUUAAAUGGUACAUCUGAAAUGUCGUGAAUGGCUGAACAAAAUUGGGUUGUCACACUCCUUCCUAAACCACACUGUGACAAAAUUUAUAGCUAACACACCUAUGUGUCACUGUCAUGUUUACCAUAUUUGGGAAGAGCUGUUCUGAUUUUAACUUGGAAAUUGGGGUCCUUUCAAAAUUUAACUCUACUAGUAUAUCCUUUGUAACAUGAGACUUGGCUGCUAAUGGCCGCUACAAUAGCUACUUUUCUUCCCCAGACAUAAAUGAUUCUGAAACAAGGACAAAAAGCAAGUUCAACAUAAUAGUAAUGAAGGCUACCAAGCCACUAAUGUCUGUUGCCCCAAGUUGUUUAGGGAAAUCAGAAGGGUUUGUUUUUAGGAAAAUCUAUACUGACUUUGCAUUGGAAGUGGACAGAUGAACAUUAAAUAUUCUGGCGUUAUUAGUAGUUGUCUCUUGCUCCUUGGCUAAAAGGAUUCAGACAUGUGACAGAUAUAGUGUAGACUGCUAACCCAAAAACAUGGUAAUAUCAACAAGUGCUCAAAACUAGAGGGGAUGCCCUUGUGAGGGAGCAGUCCUUGACAAUCAAGUGCCUUCUUCAGAUGGAAGGUGGGCCAGCAAAAGAGGAAGAUGACCUAAAUAGCUCUUUGGCUGAAAACAUGGGGGCUGCCUCCACCACUUCAAUCUGUUAUUGGCUGUAAAUUUUCUGCAUUAAUUUAUCACAUCUAACCUUUUCUUACAUAUAAUUAACUGCCUGAAAAUUCCUUAUUAAUGGUUUAAUACCUACAUUAGUUAACUGUGAUCACAAAUCCCCAAAAAGCCUAAUAUAAUGCGUAACAAUAUCAUAUUUGCAUGUGAAGAAGAAGAAAAAUAAGUUUGUGACAAGGCUCCAUAUUAUGACCAGUGAUUCCGGCUCCAUA